rnacentral:sRNA from 1 species
UCUGGCUCAUACCAGAGAUUGUCUUUGAGUAAAAGGAUAUGCAGUGACUUUGAACCAUGUCUAAGAUUAAUGAUGUUUGUAGGUCAAGUGUCAAGGUCAUAUUGGGAUCACACAAAAAUCCUUUUUCAAGAGCAUACAUGUUUAUACUCUCCACAUAGCCCUGACUUUGAUCCAAGGCAUUGUGAAGGUCAUAUCAGAGAUCAGUUUUAGACUGUAGUUUUAACCCCCAUUUGCUUAAUCUUGCUCAGACUGAACAAAAAAGCCUGUGUGUAUGUACAUAUGUAAGGGGUAAUUAGAUUGAAUGUCAGCAGGAAAAUUUCUAAGUUAUAGGUCAAGGUCAAAGCAAAAUUCUCCGAAAUACUUUACAUUUUAUUGGCUGUUAUUUAAGGGGGCCCUAAAUGGUCACCAUCUCAAUGUUGUCUAGUUUAAAUAUAUUUUUUGGUCAAUUAUUGUAAAAUUUGAAAAUUGGUGAAAGUAUUUUUGAUUAUAAUGUAACUUUUAUUCACAUUAAUAUUGACAGAUGUCCCAUACCACCUUAACAAGAAUCAAAUACAGAGUACAUGUACAAUAUGAUAUCAAGUUUCUAUGAUGUUAGAAGUGCAAAGGGCGGUAACUGUAGAAAGUGAUUAAGAGUAUGAACUCUUGAGUAUUUUCCAUAAUCACUACAUUCUUUUUUUUUUUUUGCCGUAAAAUAAAAUCAGAAUUGU